CGUCGCAAUAAUUUCCCCCUCCCCGUCCUCCCUCGCCGUCGCAAUUAUUCCGCCUCCCUGUACUAUAAAAUACACGCGGAGGGUGACUCGAAUCCCAGCCAAAUCGAUCUUCUUCUUCUUCCGAAUCGGAGAUGGAUGGAGCUGCCACGAACGAUUUCCCAAUUUCAGCGGCUCACGAUGGACGAUACUUGUAGUACAACAUCUUCAGCAACGUGUUCGAGGUCAAGAUUAAGUACGAGCUUCCGAUCAUCCCCAUCGGCAGGGGCGCCCACGGGAUCGUGUGGUAGUCAGUCGAUCAAGUACCAAAUUGAUCGAUGCUGAAGUUUUUGGGAUGAUUCGGGAUCCCCCUUCGUCCUCCUCCGCCUCAUCCAUUAAUGCCUCCGAGAAUGAGAUCAUGCCGAAAUACCUAGGGACGUGGUAGUACCGGGCGUCAGAUCUGCUGCUGAAACUCAAAGGAUUAUGCUGCAGCCAUAGAUUUAUGGUUUAUGGUUUAUGGAGUUGAUGAACAGGCAGCCGCUCUCCCCAGGGAGGGACCAUAUGCACCAGAUUCGUCUAAUAACAGAGCAACUCAGUUUUGACAACCUAAAACUUGUUAAUAUGGAAGUAGAAGCUAAAGCUGCUAUUUGAGUAGUGUUGUGAAGCCAUUGGCAGUUGCCACUCCCACAGAAGCUAAGCUUGGCUUCCUCUGCAUGAAGCACCUGUCUCAGUUUCCUCCCAAGUCAUUUGCUACGAUGUAUCCACAUAUCAAUCCAGUUGCCAUAGCUCUCAUUGAAAGAAUGCUGACAUUUGAUCCCAACAAGAGGAUUACAGAGCCCUAACCCCAACUCAAGUAGUCUACCUUACAUUGGAAUGCAAAUGGCACUCGAACGUCAGGUUAUGUUGACUCAACUGAAUCAUCAACCCCUUUCAGUUCAUAUAACCUCUUUAUAUAUAAUGUGCCCAUUUAUUUUCCUUCUUUUUUGUAAAUAUUAGAAACAAUGAAUUUUCUUUCCAUUUUUUUGGGAAUUCAUUGAGGAUAUGGAUGCAGUUAUGUGAUUCUUGGAGGAAAAAUUGAAUCACUUGUAGUCAGAAUUGAAGAAUAAGGUAAUUCAGUGCCAACAAAGUAUUGAUGUUGCUUAAAUCUUCAAUCUGAAUGAGCAGUGUUUCAUAUAGUUUUUAAAUUAUAUAUGAAUAACUUGAGCAAUAUUAAAGAAAAUAUAAUUAAAAAUAUAUGAGUAUUUCUUUAUAUUAUAAUAAUAAAAUAUUGUCGAAGAUGGAUGAAGAAGGUUUUCAUUCAAAUGUUGCCCUCUUCAGGUAGAGAUCAUGUGAAAUGAUCCUUCAUGCCCCUAUGAGUGUGAUGCAACGAUAAAACAGUCAAAGGAGCAAUACAUGGAUCAUUAUUUGAAUUUCAAAUAUGAUGAAUAUUCUAGAGGUCAAAUUUUGAAUGUGCAUAACCUAUGUUUUGAAUGUCAUCUACUUCUAGGAUUAAUUGGGUGAAGUUAAAUUCUUCACUUAACUCAAAGCUCUAAUAGUUUAAGGUGACGUUUGGUUUUUUCAUAGGAAUCAAAAUAGAAAUGUGAAUCAUAAUAUUGUAGAAUGAAAAUAAGUGUGAGUAUGGAUAACACUUUUAAAAAUAAUAUUUGGUUAGUUGAAUAUUUUCUAUUGAAAUAAAGUAAAAUUUUCUUUUUUAUCUUUAGAGGAAAAUAAAAGAAAAAAAUUAGAUGUGAAAGAAAGUUGAAUAUGAGAGAGAAAUAUGAUGAGAGAGAAUGUGUGAUAA